rnacentral:tRNA from 1 species
CAGAGAAUAGUUUAAUUAAAAUGCUAGUUUUGGGAACUGGCGAUAAGAGUGUACUCUUUUCUCUGA